GAUGAACGCUGGCGGCGUGCCUAAUACAUGCCAGUAGAACGCUGAAGGAGGAGCUUGCUCUUCUGGAUGAGUUGCGAACGGGUGAGUAACGCGUAGGUAACCUGCCUGGUAGCGGGGGAUAACUAUUGGAAACGAUAGCUAAUACCGCAUGACAACAGUUAUUGCAUGAUAACUGUUUAAAAGGGGCAACUGCUCCACUACCAGAUGGACCUGCGUUGUAUUAGCUAGUUGGUGAGGUAACGGCUCACCAAGGCGACGAUACAUAGCCGACCUGGGAGGGGGGACGGGCACAAUGGGAAUGAGACACGGCCCAAGCUCCUACGGGAGGCAGCAGUAGGGAAUCUUCGGCAAUGGACGGAAGGCUGACCGAGCAACGCCGCGGGAGUGAAGAAGGUUUUCGGAUCGUAAAGCUCUGUUGUAAGAGAAGAACGAGUGUGAGAGUGGAAAGUUCACACUGUGACGGUAUCUUACCAGAAAGGGACGGCUAACUACGUG
rnacentral:rRNA from 1 species